UGUUUCAUUGAGAAUAAUCCGGUUAUCCUUAUAUAGAUUAUCCGGAUUUUGCCCACCUCUACUCCUCAAGCAUUUCCAAUUUCCAAGUAACGCACGCGCGUUCAGUUCUGCUUAGCACGGAGGCUUUCCUCGCUGAGACAGCUCCGAUCGCUCGGAACUCGGAGGCGGGUCAGUCUUCUUAGUCAGCUGUUGUUGUUUUUGUUUCUCUGAUGAAUUCUAUAAUGGAGUGCUUCUCGCUCGUCCUUGUCCUUCUGAGGACGAGUUGGUCAUUCUAGUUUCUUGUGCCACGUCGGGAGCAAGGCAGGAGAAUUGAUGAUGAUUUAAUUAUCAUUGUUCUCAGAGAUGAUAUUAUUUUCGUUCUUUUGGAGUCGAGCUGUUGUGUGUAGCUGUGCGAUUUGGAAGCCGGGCGGGGCUGGUCUUUUUUUCACAGGUGAAAUUCUGAAAACAAUGGGGAAUCCGCAGCGCCUCGUUUAUGUCGAGAAUGCCAACGCAAAGGAUGACUCCUAACUAGAAGCGGCGACGGAAAUGUUCUGAUUACUUAGAACAAACCUUCGACGUAACUUUGGAUGUAAAUAGCCAAAACGAUUAGCAAUCUUGAAGAGCAAAAGGUCACUAAAUUGCUGUGCCUCCUGCAAUAACGGAAUAAAUAAUAAUUUGUUAGGACUUGACACAUCCACUGCUCCUUUGAGUUUUGAUGGUGGUGUGGUGACGAUAGGACAUAGGGCAGUUUUUCGUGAACUUAUCAAGAAAAUAUUUUCAUUAUCUUUUUUAUAGGAUACGCUAUUGAUAUAUGACAAAAAGAAAAUUUGCAUUGAGUGUUAGAUUUCAUGCGUUUCCUAAACUGGAUAUUUACCUGCAAAUCAGUUUAAUAAACAAUUCAUUUCACGAUUUCUAGGGAAAACGAGAAGGCAAUAAAUAAUUAUAUUCCCAGUAAUUGUUUUUUCAAACUGAAAUAAUAAUGUUUCUUGCAUCGGGGUUAAAAGAAAACACCACACUACAUCUCGAUACCCCAUUGUAUUCUCAGAGAUAAAACAGGUGAGGUUCAAACAGUAGCCACUGUGCCAUUCAGAAGGUCUCUUACGUGAUGCAAAAAUCGUAAAGUGCUUGGUUAGAUCUUCAGCUAAUGUUUCUUAUUACUCUUUAAUUGAUAAAUAUAGGCAUAGACGUAUGUAACGAUGACUGUGUUUGCUAUAUAUUCACCUUAAACACGAAAUGAUAACUUUAUUUUUUGACAGCUAUUUUGUGCAAAUAGCAACUAAGAAUCGCUAUUCGUCUCAUGUAAUUGGAUGAAUUUUAGUUUCGAAUUCAAUAUGUAAAGAUGUUAUCAGAAGGUCAAUAAGUCUUUUGGAAAAGAUUCAAGUGUUCUGCAAGGAACCAUUGAUGUGAAUGAUAUCAGCGGUGAAGUGAUUUCUUGGGAUAAGUGAAACACUUUUAUUAUAAUUAUAAGAGAAUAGUUUUCGGUAGAUUUUCGAAAAAGAAAGUGACUACUUGACGAAAUGACUUUCGACCCACUCUCAGCAAGAUCGGUACCUAAGAGCAAGUUCCAUAUCUUUUCAGUCUACUGUGUUAGAAGCCUCCCUAUUUUAGUAUGGUAAAGAAAGAUA
rnacentral:lncRNA from 1 species